AAAUAAUUAAAAAAUAGGGCUUUAUCGCUCUUAUCAAAUAUUAGGACAAGUGUUUUUCCUGAAUAUAGUGGUCCGAUAAAUCACUGAUCAAAGAGCAAACAUUAAUCCAACAGACUAAAAGGAUUAGCACUUGAUGGAAGGAUGGAAGACGCCAACAGACUACAAGGCUAGCAACUAGCAAUCAACCGAGCCACCGGACUUGAGAAUAAAGCGAAAUUCCUCUUUGAUUCACUGAUCAAAGAGCAGAUUUCAACCUAACAGUUGAAU
rnacentral:misc_RNA from 1 species